rnacentral:rRNA from 1 species
UGCCAGCAGCCGCGGUAAUACAGAGAUGGCAACCGUUGUUCGGAAUCACUGGGCUUAAAGAGCACGUAGGCGGAUUGGUCAGUCAGAGGUGAAAGCCCAGGGCUCAACCUUGGAAUUGCCUUUGAUACUGCCAGUCUUGAGUUCGGGAGAGGUGAGCGGAAUUCCGAGUGUAGAGGUGAAAUUCGUAGAUAUUCGGAGGAACACCAGAGGCGAAGGCGGCUCACUGGACCGAUACUGACGCUGAGGAGCGAAAGCGUGGGGAGCAAACAGGAUUAGAUA